rnacentral:misc_RNA from 1 species
GGACUUCCACAAUUUUGUCUUCUCUAUGAAAGCAAGUAAUCCUGUGGUCAUGGUCCAAGCUUAUCGGCUGCUUGUUGCAGAAAUGUAUGUUCAGGGUUGGGAUUAUCCUCUUCACCUUGGAGUUACUGAAGCCGGAGAGGGUGAAGAUGGACGAAUGAAAUCUGCGAUUGGUAUUGGAACUCUUCUUCAGGAUGGUUUGGGCGAUACAAUCAGAGUUUCCCUCACUGAACCACCAGAGGAAGAGAUUGAUCCUUGCAGGCGGCUAGCAAACCUUGGCAUGCAAGCUUCAAGUCUUAAUAAGGGUGUGGCGCCUUUUGAAGAGAAACAUAGGCGUUAUUUUGACUUCCAACGAAGGAGUGGCCAAUUACCAGUACAAAAGGAGGGUGACGAGGUGGAUUACCGUGGAGUUCUGCAUCGUGAUGGUUCUGUUCUUAUGUCAGUAUCCUUGGAUCAGUUGAAGACACCAGAACUUCUCUACAAGUCGCUUGCAGCAAAACUUGUGGUUGGCAUGCCAUUUAAGGAUCUGGCAACAGUAGACUCGAUUCUUCUGAGAGAACUUCCUCAAGCGGAUGAUAUCGAUGGUAGAUUAGCUCUCAAAAGGUUGAUCGAUAUAAGCAUAGGCGUUUUGACUCCUCUGUCAGAACAGCUCACAAAGCCACUUCCUAAUGCCAUUGUCCUCGUCAACCUCAAGGAACUUUCAUCCGGUGCUCACAAGCUUCUGCCAGAAGGCACUCGGCUAGCCGCCACUAUCCGUGGGGAUGAACCCUAUGAGGAGUUAGACAUUCUCAAAGACGUCGAAGACAUCACAAUGUUGCUGCAUAAUUUGCCAUAUGGUGAAGAAAAAAUCAGCCGGGUUCAUGCAGCAAGAAGGUUGUUUGAGUACCUGGAGACCAAUGCUUUAAGUUUCCCUGUGAUUCACCACAUACAGUUCCCCGAAGAGAUCCACAGAGAUGACUUGGUCAUAGGUGCUGGGGCCAAUGUCGGUGCGCUCCUUGUUGACGGACUUGGAGACGGUCUACUACUCGAGGCAUGCGAUCAAGACUUUGAUUUCUUGAGAAAUACAUCCUUCAAUCUGCUUCAGGGUUGCAGAAUGCGCAAUACAAAAACUGAGUAUGUCUCGUGCCCAUCCUGCGGACGCACCCUAUUCGACCUUCAAGAGAUAAGCGCUCAGAUAAGGGAGAAGACACUACAUUUACCCGGAGUUUCUAUUGCAAUCAUGGGAUGUAUCGUGAAUGGACCAGGAGAGAUGGCCGAUGCAGAUUUCGGGUAUGUAGGUGGUGCUCCGGGAAAGAUCGACCUCUAUGUCGGGAAGACGGUGGUAAAGAGGGCAAUUGCGAUGGAACAUGCAACGGAUGCCUUGAUCCAGCUAAUUAAAGACCAUGGCCGAUGGGUGGACCCACCCGCUGAAGAAUGAAAUAUUGCUAUGCAGAAUGAUCAAAUUACUGGAGCAUGCGAGGUUACUAAUGAUUGAAUGUGAUGUUGGUGAAAAUCGAUUAGGAAGUUAGUACCGAAGUAUCUUGUAUGGUUAUAGUUCAUAUCGGUGAGAAUUAUUGGACACCCUAUCGAAGUUUCUAGUUUUAACUUUUUCGAAUGCAGACAGUAUGGUUAAUACUUCAUGUCCAGAUUUGUCAAGAAACUAAAAGCCUGAAAAUUGAGGGUCUAG